rnacentral:rRNA from 1 species
GCGGCGUGCUUAACACAUGCAAGUCGAGCGGAAAGGCCCUUCGGGGUACUCGAGCGGCGAACGGGUGAGUAACACGUGAGUAACCUGCCCCUGACUCUGGGAUAAGCCUGGGAAACCGGGUCUAAUACCGGAUAUGACUUCGCGUGGCAUCGCGCGGGGUGGAAAGUUUUUUCGGUUGGGGAUGGGCUCGCGGCCUAUCAGCUUGUUGGUGGGGUAGUGGCCUACCAAGGCGACGACGGGUAGCCGGCCUGAGAGGGCGACCGGCCACACUGGGACUGAGACACGGCCCAGACUCCUACGGGAGGCAGCAGUGGGGAAUAUUGCGCAAUGGGCGGAAGCCUGACGCAGCGACGCCGCGUGGGGGAUGACGGCCUUCGGGUUGUAAACCUCUUUCAGCAGGGACGAAGUUGACGUGUACCUGCAGAAGAAGCGCCGGCUAACUACGUGCCAGCAGCCGCGGUAAUACGUAGGGCGCAAGCGUUGUCCGGAAUUAUUGGGCGUAAAGAGCUCGUAGGUGGCUUGUCGCGUCUGCCGUGAAAGCCCAUGGCUUAACUGUGGGUCUGCGGUGGAUACGGGCUGGCUAGAGGUAGGUAGGGGCAAGCGGAAUUCCUGGUGUAGCGGUGAAAUGCGCAGAUAUCAGGAGGAACACCGGUGGCGAAGGCGGCUUGCUGGGCCUUACCUGACGCUGAGGAGCGAAAGCGUGGGGAGCGAACAGGAUUAGAUACCCUGGUAGUCCACGCUGUAA